rnacentral:rRNA from 1 species
GCCUAACACAUGCAAGUCGAACGAAGCAUACGGGACGGAGAUUCGUCGAAGCCCUGUAUGACUUAGUGGCGGACGGGUGAGUAAUGUAUGAGCAACCUGCCUUUCAGAGGGGGGCAACAGUUGGAAACGACUGCUAAUACCGCAUAAUGUAUUUGGGUGGCAUCACCUGGAUACCAAAGGAGCAAUCCGCUGAAAGAUGGGCUCAUAUCUGAUUAGCUUGUUGGCGGGGUAACGGCCCACCAAGGCGACGAUCAGUAGCCGGACUGAGAGGUUGAACGGCCACAUUGGGACUGAGAUACGGCCCAGACUCCUACGGGAGGCAGCAGUGGGGAAUAUUGGGCAAUGGGGGAAACCCUGACCCAGCAACGCCGCGUGAAGGAAGAAGGCCUUCGGGUUGUAAACUUCUUUUACCAGGGACGAAGAACGUGACGGUACCUGGAGAAAAAGCAACGGCUAACUACGUGCCAGCCGCCGCCGUAACAC